CUACGUGCCAGCAGCCGCGGUAAUACGGAAGGUCCAGGCGUUAUCCGGAUUUAUUGGGUUUAAAGGGAGCGUAGGCUGGAGAUUAAGUGUGUUGUGAAAUGUAGACGCUCAACGUCUGAAUUGCAGCGCAUACUGGUUUCCUUGAGUACGCACAACGUUGGCGGAAUUCGUCGUGUAGCGGUGAAAUGCUUAGAUAUGACGAAGAACUCCGAUUGCGAAGGCAGCUUGCGGGAGCACAACUGACGCUGAAGCUCGAAAGUGCGGGUAUCGAACAGGAUUAGAUACCCUGGUAGUCCGCACGGUAAACGAUGGAUGCCCGUUGUCAGGCUGUUUCAGUCUGGUGACCAAGCGAAAGCAUUAAGCAUCCCACCUGGGGAGUACGCCGGCAACGGUGAAACUCAAAGGAAUUGACGGGGGCCCGCACAAGCGGAGGAACAUGUGGUUUAAUUCGAUGAUACGCGAGGAACCUUACCCGGGCUUGAAUUGCAGAGGAAGGAUUUAGAGAUA
rnacentral:rRNA from 1 species